rnacentral:lncRNA from 1 species
GCAACAACCAGGACAAGGGCAACAAGGGUACUACCCAAGUGUAACUUCUCCACAACAGUCGGGACAAGGGCAACAAGGGUACCCAAGUACAACUUCUCCACAACAAUCGGGGCAAGGGCAACAGCUGGGACAAGGGCAACAACCAGGACAAGGGCAACAAGGGUACCCAAGUGCAACUUUUCCACAACAGCCAGGACAAUGGCAACAAGGGUCCUACCCAAGUACAACUUCUCCGCAGCAGUCAGGACAAGGGCAACAAGGGUACAACCCAAGUGGAACUUCUACGCAGCAGCCGGGACAAGUGCAACAGUUGGGACAAGGGCAACAAGGGUACUACCCAA